UGUGACGCGACUUCUUCUGAAUUUUGCUUUGCCUCUCAGCGACAUUGUGCGAACCGAUAAGCAAAAUCUGAGGCUGCGCCUCUCAAAUUGCUUUACAUUAGAAAAAAAUUUAUUUCUGCUAAUUUUCAGCUGAAUUCAACUGAAAAAUGGCAACUGCUACAUGUUUCUUCACUUCAACUUCAACGUCUCAUGUUUGCUCGUUUUUGCAGUGUAGGAGAUGGAAUAAUAGGAUGCUUGGACAAGUAAAAUUUACUUCUUUGAAUUUCGUAGGAUGGAAGCAGAGGAGAAAUUUGAUCUGUGCAGUCGAUAAGGAUGCCGAAAAAUCAUUUAAAAAGACUGUGGAGAUAGACCGACUGAUAGACAUACUACGGGAUGCAGAUGAUAAGGAAGUUCAGCAACUUGUUGUGGAGAAUGUUCUUGCUUUCAAUGAAGGAUUUUGGAUACGACUUGCAGCUAGAACAGAAACAUGCAAAUCUGAAGAUGACAAGAAAGACUACGAGGAAUUGGCUGCAGUUCUGAUGAACGUGGUGGAUCGUCUUGUGCACAAGACUAAAGAAAAGAUUGAGUCGGCUACUGAUGUGCUUAAGGCUAUUCUGAAGCCUGUCGUUGAUGAAGAGGAAGAGAUUCCUUGGCCUCCCAGAGACCCGGAGGCUCUCGUCCUCAUGCAAAAGGAAUUAAACCAAAGAGAGCAAGAAGGUCAACUCGAUGAGGGCUUCCUUGCAGAAGUUAACGCACAGCUGCGGCAACUAAUGUGCAGGCGAAGGAAGACGGCGACAAGCCGGGGCUUGAGGCUAUGUUGCAAAAGGUUCUGCAACUGUAUGCUUCCAGAGUCCUCUCUAAGCGUAGUUACGCAAAAAAAGCAAUUUAUCGAUGCUUUGCUGUUGUUUUGGGUAGGAAACGAGGUUUUGAAAACAGAGCAGUUUCUUGAAACAUUAAUCCAAGCUCCAGAAACAGAAUGGAACAAGCUCUUACUCAAUGGAUUGACUAUUGGCAAAGGAGACAUUUUGCCUGAAGACUUAUACGCGGUUGUAAAGAAACGUAUUGAACGAGUAUUGAUUAGAACAGAGGGCGGAUCGUAUCAGCAACGUGUUCUCAUCGAGUACUUAAAGGGCAUCCAAUCUAGAGGGGAGGAGAUUGUUAAUGCACUCCGAGGUGGGAUGAAGUAGGCUUCUUCUCUGGUCUAUCGAGGGCGAUACAAAAGCUUCUAGAAAUGGGAGUGAAACAUGGAGUUCUGCUGCCAGAAGAGCAUCACCAUUUUUGCCAACAAUUGAAACUGGUGAGAUGUGAUUUUCUUGGUGGUGGAGAUGCCUGCGAGGAAGAGAAGCUUCAUUUUCCCAUGCCACAUGGUUGCAUUCUUUGAAACAUAGAGGCAGAGGAGAAUUAAUAGCAGGUAGCAUGGCAGGAAAAAAAACUUUACAGUACAAUUAUAUGAUUGAUUGAGGCCAACUUAACUGUGGGAGGAGAAAUCUUUUGUUGCUACAUUUUGCUAGGAUUGAGCAUCAAGAAUUUGUCUUGAGAGAUAGAGGGAUAACUUAUUCAUUCUAGAGUACACUAAUGUUUAUUGAAGUACAACUGCAAAGUCUUAUCCCACUGCACUUGAAAGCUAGAGGUAUAACUCACUUGUAGCAUGCUGGUGAAUUAAUUUCUAGAGCAGGCCAACUGUGUAUUGAUUUGCCUCAUGUGAUAUGCCUCUCUUUUCAUAUUUUGUCUGCUGAAAAUUGAUUUAGAUGAUUGAGUAAUUGAGUUUUUGUAUUCAUUGUGCAAUCACUUCUGGGAGGAAUGAUGCUAGUAUUAAUACUAGGCUGGUAAAGUACCAACUAAAACUUAAAUUUCUAGUCUGGAUUACCUAUGAGGCUUGCAAGAUUCAGCCGUUUUUCAGAUUUAUGAUAAGUUACACUGAAGGAUUUGUCCAGAUGUGAAAAGGGGCGGGCUUAUAAUAAAAAUCUUGAUGUGGGAACUUUCUCUCUUGAAUUCAAGAAUUUUUGCGUUUAAGUUGUCGUUUCCACGAUUUACUGCUUGCCAAAAGUUGAUGAAUUGUGAUUAAGUAGUUAUGAGUUGUUGGUGUUUAUGCAAUGAGCAUCUGGAGUGAAUUGGGCUCUGAAUUUAUGCUUAGAUUAUAUAUCACUAAAGUCCCUUUUUAUGAGGCAGCAAGAUCUUUGGAAAUAAAUUUGCAACAUGUGGGCAGUGUUGGUUGUGUAACUGUACAUAUGUCUACAUGUGCCAUUCAACUUUGAAUGUGUAAUUAUUUUAUUUGAAUCUGAAAUUUUCCGAGGAUGAGGCAUAUAGCUUGGCUCCUGUUUUGACUUUAUUUUCCUAGUUGCUGAGGUACUUAUAUAUCCUGCAUUAGAUCUUCCUCUCUCUCUCUAAAAUCCCGGAUUGCAGGAAACUACUAUGCUCUCUCUCUCUCUCUCAACAUUGUUGCUGAGAUUGUAAGAGGCUGCCGCCACGGCGUUCAGUACUGGAAAAUGUGCCAUGAAACUGGCCUUUCACACAGCAGCCUUGAUACGCUACAAGCCAAAGGAAAGGCCACCUACUUUAUUGCUCUGCCUCUGCCUUCAAGUCGUUAAAUUCUGACCCUUUUUUUGUGUUAAUUACAUUAAACCAAACUUGCUUUAAGUACUACUCAUUCAUCUCUUCAGUUUAGUUUUGUUUAUCGUACUGCAUAAUUUUACAAAGCUUUUCAGUUCAU